rfam:TPA: Bos taurus chromosome 15, whole genome shotgun sequence.
UCCCUGGUGGCUCAUAUGGUAAAGAAUCUGCCUGCAGGGCAGGAGACCCAGGUUCGAUUCCUGGGUAGGGAA